GGCUAUAUACAGGGUGUUACGGUACAGAGUCAAUGUGGAGGCUAUAUAGAGGGGGUACCAGUACAGAGUCAAUGUGGAGGCUAUAUACAGGGUGUUACGGUACAGAGUCAAUGUGGAGGCUAUAUACAGGGUGUUACGGUACAGAGUCAAUGUGGAGGCUAUAUAGAGGGGGUACCAGUACAGAGUCAAUGUGGAGGCUAUAUACAGGGUGUUACGGUACAGAGUCAAUGUGGAGGCUAUAUACAGGGGGUACCGGUACAGAGUCAAUGUGGAGGCUAUAUACAGGGUGUUACGGUACAGAGUCAAUGUGGAGGCUAUAUAGAGGGGGUACCAGUACAGAGUCAAUGUGGAGGCUAUAUACAGGGUGUUACGGUACAGAGUCAAUGUGGAGGCUAUAUACAGGGUGCUACGGUACAGAGUCAAUGUGGAGGCUAUAUACAGGGGGUACCGGUACAGAGUCAAUGUGGAGGCUAUAUACAGGGUGUUACGGUACAGAGUCAAUGUGGAGGCUAUAUACAGAGUGUUACGGUACAGAGUCAAUGUGGAGGCUAUAUACAGGGUGUUACGGUACAGAGUCAAUGUGGAGGCUAUAUACAGGGUGUUACGGUACAGAGUCAAUGUGGAGGCUAUAUACAGGGUGUUACGGUACAGAGUCAAUGUGGAGGCUAUAUACAGGGGGUACCGGUACAGAGUCAAUGUGGGGGCUAUAUACAGGGGGUACCGGUACAGAGUCAAUGUGGAGGCUAUAUACAGGGGGUACCGGUACAGAGUCAAUGUGCGGGGGCACCGGUGAGGUAAUAUGUACAUGUAGGUAGAGGUAUUAAAGUAACUGUGCAUAGAUAAUAACAAAGAGUAGCAGUGUAGAAGGGGGAGG
ensembl:lncRNA